CGCGGAGUAGAGCAGCUUGGUAGCUCGUCAGGCUCAUAAUCUGAAGGUCGUCGGUUCAAAUCCGUCCUCCGCAACCA
rnacentral:tRNA from 1 species